rnacentral:rRNA from 1 species
GAUGAACGCUGGCGGCGUGCCUAAUACAUGCAAGUCGAGCGAACAGAUAAGGAUCUUGCUCCUUUGACGUUAGAGGCGGACGGGUGAGUAACACGUGGGUAACCUAUCUAUAAGACUGAGAUUACUUCGGGAAACCGGAGCUAAGAUCUGAUAAUAUUUCGAACUGCAUGGUUCGAUAGUGAAUGAUGGAUGUGUUAUUACUUGUAGAGGGAGCCGCGCCGUAUUAGCUAGUUGGUAAGGUAACGGCUUACCAAGGCGACGAUACGUAGCCGACCUGAGAGGGUGAUCGGCCACACUGGAACUGAGACACGGUCCAGACUCCUACGGGAGGCAGCAGUAGGGAAUCUUCCGCAAUGGGCGAAAGCCUGACGGAGCAACGCCGCGUGAGUGAUGAAGGUCUUCGGAUCGUAAAACUCUGUUAUUAGGGAAGAACAUACGUGUAAGUAACUGUGCACGUCUUGACGGUACCUAAUCAGAAAGCCACGGCUAACUACGUG